UGGUGGGGUGACUUGUCUGCUUAAUUGCGAUAACGAACGAGACCUUAACCUGCUAAACAGCCCGCAUUGCUCCGGCAGUGCGCUGGCUUCUUAGAGGGACUUUCGGCUCAAGCCGAAGGAAGUUUGAGGCAAUAACA
rnacentral:rRNA from 1 species